ACAUCCAGCGAACUUGGCAGAGAUGCCUUGGUGCCUUCGGGAACGCUGAGACAGGUGCUGCAUGGCUGUCGUCAGCUCGUGUUGUGAAAUGUUGGGGUUAAGUCCCCGNAACGAGCGCAACCCUUAUCCUUUGUUGCCAGCGAUUCGGUCGGGAACUCAAAGGAGACUGCCGGUGAUAAACCGGAGGAAGGUGGGGAUGACGUCAAGUCAUCAUGGCCCUUACGAGUAGGGCUACACACGUGCUACAAUGGCGCAUACAAAGAGAAGCGACCUCGCGAGAGCAAGCGGACCUCAUAAAGUGCGUCGUAGUCCGGAUCGGAGUCUGCAACUCGACUCCGUGAAGUCGGAAUCGCUAGUAAUCGUGGAUCAGAAUGCCACGGUGAAUACGUUCCCGGGCCUUGUACACACCGCCCGUCACACCAUGGGAGUGGGUUGCAAAAGAAGUAGGUAGCUUAACCCUCGGGAGGGCGCUUACCACUUUGUGAUUCAUGACUGGGGUGAAGUCGUAACAAGGUAAGCGUAGCGAG
rnacentral:rRNA from 1 species